rnacentral:tRNA from 1 species
ACCAGAAAAGCCAAAGAAGCGGCGUUGGUCUUGUAAACCAAAUAGUGGAUUUAUCCUUCUGGUA